GUCCAUGCUGUAAAUCUGAGUGCUGAAGAUUGGAGAAUUUCAGUCUUAAGCUAACGCGGGAAGCACUCCACCUGGAAUGUACGACCGCAAGGUUAACUUAAGGAAGUGGCGGAGAUACCUUCAAGCGGUGAAGCAUGUGGUUUAAUUCGAUACAACCCGAACCUUACCAGUCAUUGAAUAGUUAGGAAUGUAAUAUCGAAAGAUAUUAAUAGUUACUUUCACAGGUGCUGCAUGGCUGUCGU
rnacentral:rRNA from 1 species